rnacentral:tRNA from 1 species
GGGGAUGUAGCUCAGCUGGGAGAGCGCGGCGUUCGCAACGCCGAGGUCGUGGGUUCGAGCCCCAUCAUCUCCACCA